CUUUUGAAACCACUCAUGCCGCUCGGUGUGACCCAGUGCAGUUAUUUUUCGUGCGCCGCCGUGAUGUUCAACGUUCAUAAAUGUUCCUGUCGCCCCUGCUCUUCGUCGUUACCGCAGCUUUAAUGGCUUUUCUGGAACAGUGACACAUUUUGACUUUACACGGACGUCAGACGUUUUGGGUUGUUUUACAGCGACAGCUAACAAACCUCAGGCUUUAAUUUAGGAAGACGUCGAGGCAAUACCCAGGUAGACACUAGCGAAAGCACUCCACGCCAAAGCAAUACCCACAUGGCUGGUCACAGUAAAUUCUGGUUGUUUUUAUUCAGCACUGUGCCACCUUUUAACUUCAGAUGACUGUUGAGAAAACCUGCAUCCACAAUGGGACCACAUACAAAGUGGGAGAGACAUGGGUGACCCGGAUGACCGCUGCAUGUCCUUCAUCUGCAUCAGAGUGAACCAAGAGUCUGUCCUUCAGAUAUUUGUCCUGAGGGUAACACGACUUGGGACGACCAAGACUGCUGCUCCACCUCUUAAACUUUUAAAAAAUCUUUUCUAAGGCAACCAGACCUGCGAGCCCAAACUGUCCAAAAUGAACGUCACCAUUGAUGACUGCUCCGCCGUCAUCGAAUUACCCGUGUGUGAGGGCCGAUGUCUGUCGGAACCCUGGUUGAGGAGAAACCAAACUUUGGACUGCUCGAAAACAUCCGGCGCGCCAACAUUUCCCUCCAUUUUCUUCCCUCUCCAACAGGGUGUCGGCAGACGCGUACCUGCAGGUCAAACAGGACUUCCGGUGCUGCCGGGAGGAGAGUUCAGACCUCCGAGUUCUGGAUGUGAGAUGCUCGGACCUCACUAGCAGAAAAUAUAACUACAAGCACGUGACCGGCUGCGCGUGCAAAGCUUGUGGUUCCCACUGAAGAGCGACGCCAAUCCACGUCGUCACACAUUUCUAAUAUGAUUCUCUUGUGCUCGAAUUUAACGGAGGAUUUUAUGACGUGUUUACUGAAAUUAAUGUAUUUACCAUCAAUUU